rnacentral:rRNA from 1 species
GUGGGGAAUUUUGGACAAUGGGCGCAAGCCUGAUCCAGCAAUGCCGCGUGCAGGAAGAAGGCCUUCGGGUUGUAAACUGCUUUUGUACGGAACGAAACGGUCCGGGUUAAUACCCUGGGCUAAUGACGGUACCGUAAGAAUAAGCACCGGCUAACUACGUGCCAGCAGCCGCGGUAAUACGUAGGGUGCGAGCGUUAAUCGGAAUUACUGGGCGUAAAGCGUGCGCAGGCGGUGCUGUAAGACAGGCGUGAAAUCCCCGGGCUCAACCUGGGAAUUGCGGUUGUGAGUGUAGUGCUGGAGUACGGCAGAGGGGGAUGGAAUUCCGCGUGUAGCAGUGAAAUGCGUAGAUAGGCGGAGGAACACCGAUGGCGAAGGCAGUCCCCUGGGCCUGUACUGACGCUCAUGCACGAAAGCGUGGGGAGCAAACAGGAUUAGAAACCCCGGUAGUCC